rnacentral:RNase_P_RNA from 2 species
UGAGCUGGCUGGGCGGCCGCGGCCCCCGAUGGGGGUCGAGGAAAGUCCGGACUUCACAGAGCAGGGUGAUUGCUAACGGCAAUCCGAGGUGACUCGCGGGAAAGUGCCACAGAAAACAGACCGCCGCCUCCGGGAGACCGGGGGCGGUAAGGGUGAAAAGGUGCGGUAAGAGCGCACCAGCAUCCCGGGUGACCGGGGUGGCUCGGUAAACCCCACCCGAAGCAAGGCCAAGAAGGCCGCAACCUGGUUGCGGCCGCGCAGGCGCUCGAGGGUUGCUCGCCCGAGCCUGCGGGUAGGCCGCUCGAGGUACCCGGCGACGGGCUACCCAGAUGGAUGGUCGCCGCCCUGCAGCCAGAUGGCCGCGGGGAACAGAAUCCGGCUUACAGGCCGGCUCAUCCG